rnacentral:rRNA from 1 species
AUCUAUAGCCAUACCACCCUAAACUAGCACCUGAUUUCGUCUGAUCUUGGAAGCUAAGCAGUGUUGGGCCUGGUUAGUGCUUGGAUGGGAGACAGGUUAAGGACUGCAGGGUGAAGGGU